UAAUACGUAGGGCGCAAGCGUUGUCCGGAAUUAUUGGGCGUAAAGAGCUCGUAGGCGGUCUGUCACGUCUGCCGUGAAAACCCGAGGCUUAACCUCGUGGCUUGCGGUGGAUACGGGCAGACUAGAGGUAGGUAGGGGAGAAUGGAAUUCCCGGUGUAGCGGUGAAAUGCGCAGAUAUCGGGAGGAACACCGGUGGCGAAGGCGGUUCUCUGGGCCUUACCUGACGCUGAGGAGCGAAAGCGUGGGGAGCGAACAGGAUUAGAUACCCUGGUAGUCCACGCCGUAAACGUUGGGCGCUAGGUGUGGGGUUCUUCCACGGACUCCGUGCCGUAGCUAACGCAUUAAGCGCCCCGCCUGGGGAGUACGGCCGCAAGGCUA
rnacentral:rRNA from 1 species